GACGUAGGGUCCGAGCGUUGUCCGGAGUACUGGGCGUAAGGCGCGCGCAGGCGGCUCGGCAAGCAUGGCGUGAAAGCCCCGGCUCAACCCGGGGAGAGUCGUCGUGGACUGCCGGGCUUGAGGGCGGUAGGGGUUGGUGGAAGUUCCCGGUGUAGUGGUGAAAGUGCGUAGAGAUCGGGAGGAACACCCGUGGCGAAGGCGGCCAACUGGGCCGACCCUGACGCUGAGGCGCGAAGGCGUGGGAGCGAACGGG
rnacentral:rRNA from 1 species